GAUGAACGCUGGCGGCGUGCCUAAUACAUGCAAGUCGAGCGAAUGGAUUAAGAGCUUGCUCUUAUGAAGUUAGCGGCGGACGGGUGAGUAACACGUGGGUAACCUGCCCAUAAGACUGGGAUAACUCCGGGAAACCGGGGCUAAUACGGGAUAACAUUUUGAACCGCAUGGUUCGAAAUUGAAAGGCGGCUUCGGCUGUCACUUAUGGAUGGACCCGGGGCGCAUUAGCUAGUUGGUGAGGUAACGGCUCACCAAGGCAACGAUGCGUAGCCGACCUGAGAGGGUGAUCGGCCACACUGGGACUGAGACACGGCCCAGACUCCUACGGGAGGCAGCAGUAGGGAAUCUUCCGCAAUGGACGAAAGUCUGACGGAGCAACGCCGCGUGAGUGAUGAAGGCUUUCGGGUCGUAAAACUCUGUUGUUAGGGAAGAACAAGUGCUAGUUGAAUAAGCUGGCACCUUGACGGUACCUAACCAGAAAGCCACGGCUAACUACGUGCCAGCAGCCGCCGUAA
rnacentral:rRNA from 1 species